CCCUUAGAUAUCCUGGGCUGCACGCGCGCUACACUGAUGUGUCCAGUAAGCACCUAACCUCUUCCGAAAGGAACGGGUAACCUUUGCAAAGCACAUCGUGAUGGGGAUAGAUUAUUGCAAUUAUUAGUCUUGAACGAGGAAUUCCUAGUAAGCACAAGUCAUCAGCUUGUGUUGAUUACGUCCCUGCCCUUUGUACACACCGCCCGUCGCUCCUACCGAUUGAAUGUUCCGGUGAGCUCUUCGGACUGCGCGGUCUGCAGUUUCUGCGUUCCGUGCGGAAAGUUGCGCAAACCUUAACAUUUAGAGGAAGGAGAAGUCGUAACA
rnacentral:rRNA from 1 species